rnacentral:rRNA from 1 species
AACGUAGGAGGCGAGCGUUAUCCGGAUUCACUGGGCGUAAAGCGCGUGUAGGUGGCUCGUCAAGUCGCCGGUGAAAGCCCCUGGCUCAACUGGGGGAGGCCCGGCGAAACUGGCGGACUGGAGGCAAGGAGAGGAAGGUGGAAUUCCCGGUGUAGCGGUGGAAUGCGUAGAGAUCGGGAGGAACACCCGUGGCGAAGGCGGCCUUCUGGCCUUGGCCUGACACUGAGACGCGAAAGCGUGGGGAG